AAAAAGUAGCUUAACCCAAAGCACUCAGCUUACAAUUGAGACACACUAGUUAUAUAACCUAGUCUUUCUGAA
rnacentral:tRNA from 1 species